rnacentral:rRNA from 1 species
UUGACAUGCCGCGAGUAGGAAACCGAAAGGGGACCGACCGGUUCAGUCCGGAAGCGGAACAGGUGCUGCAUGGCUGUCGUCAGCUCGUGCCGUGAGGUGUUGGGUUCAGUCCCGCAACGAGCGCAACCCUCGCCCUCUGUUGCCACCGGGUCAUGCCGGGCACUCUGAGGGGACUGCCAGCGACAAGUUGGAGGAAGGAGAGGAUGACGUCAAGUCAUCAUGGCCCUUAUGCCCAGGGCCACACACGUGCAACAAUGGCCGGUACAGACGGAAGCAAGACCGAGAGGUGGAGCAAAUCCGAGAAAGCCGGUCCCAGUUCGGAUUGAGGUCUGCAACUCGACCUCAUGAAGUCGGAAUCGCCAGUAAUCGCGUAUCAGCACGACGCGGUGAAUACGUUCCCGGGCCUUGUACACACCGCCCGUCACACCACGAAAGUCUGUUGUACCUGAAGUCGGUGCCCCAACCGGAAACGGAGGGAGCCGCCCAAGGUAUGGCCGGUAAUUGGGGUGAAGUCGUAACAAGGUAGCCGUAAUCACUAGU